rnacentral:rRNA from 1 species
CUCGGGUGACGAGCGGCGGACGGGUGAGUAAUGUCUGGGAAACUGCCUGAUGGAGGGGGAUAACUACUGGAAACGGUAGCUAAUACCGCAUAAUGUCGCAAGACCAAAGUGGGGGACCUUCGGGCCUCAUGCCAUCAGAUGUGCCCAGAUGGGAUUAGCUGGUAGGUGGGGUAACGGCUCACCUAGGCGACGAUCCCUAGCUGGUCUGAGAGGAUGACCAGCCACACUGGAACUGAGACACGGUCCAGACUCCUACGGGAGGCAGCAGUGGGGAAUAUUGCACAAUGGGCGCAAGCCUGAUGCAGCCAUGCCGCGUGUGUGAAGAAGGCCUUCGGGUUGUAAAGCACUUUCAGCGGGGAGGAAGGCGGUGAGGUUAAUAACCUCAUCGAUUGACGUUACCCGCAGAAGAAGCACCGGCUAACUCCGUGCCAGCAGCCGCGGUAAUACGGAGGGUGCAAGCGUUAAUCGGAAUUACUGGGCGUAAAGCGCACGCAGGCGGUCUGUCAAGUCGGAUGUGAAAUCCCCGGGCUCAACCUGGGAACUGCAUUCGAAACUGGCAGGCUAGAGUCUUGUAGAGGGGGGUAGAAUUCCAGGUGUAGCGGUGAAAUGCGUAGAGAUCUGGAGGAAUACCGGUGGCGAAGGCGGCCCCCUGGACAAAGACUGACGCUCAGGUGCGAAAGCGUGGGGAGCAAACAGGAUUAGAUACCCUGGUAGUCCACGCUGUAAACGAUGUCGAUUUGGAGGUUGUGCCCUUGAGGCGUGGCUUCCGGAGCUAACGCGUUAAAUCGACCGCCUGGGGAGUACGGCCGCAAGGUUAAAACUCAAAUGAAUUGACGGGGGCCCGCACAAGCGGUGGAGCAUGUGGUUUAAUUCGAUGCAACGCGAAGAACCCUACCUGGUCUUGACAUCCACAGAACUUUCCAGAGAUGGAUUGGUGCCUUCGGGAACUGUGAGACAGGUGCUGCAUGGCUGUCGUCAGCUCGUGUUGUGAAAUGUUGGGUUAAGUCCCGCAACGAGCGCAACCCUUAUCCUUUGUUGCCAGCGGUUAGGCCGGGAACUCAAAGGAGACUGCCAGUGAUAAACUGGAGGAAGGUGGGGAUGACGUCAAGUCAUCAUGGCCCUUACGACCAGGGCUACACACGUGCUACAAUGGCAUAUACAAAGAGAAGCGACCUCGCGAGAGCAAGCGGACCUCAUAAAGUAUGUCGUAGUCCGGAUUGGAGUCUGCAACUCGACUCCAUGAAGUCGGAAUCGCUAGUAAUCGUAGAUCAGAAUGCUACGGUGAAUACGUUCCCGGGCCUUGUACACACCGCCCGUCACACCAUGGGAGUGGGUUGCAAAAGAAGUAGGUAGCUUAACCUUCGGGAGGGCGCUUAC